rnacentral:rRNA from 1 species
GACGAACGCUGGCGGCGUGCUUAACACAUGCAAGUCGAGCGGAAAGGCCCUGCCUUUGUGGGGUGCUCGAGUGGCGAACGGGUGAGUAACACGUGAGUAACCUGCCCUUGCCCUUGGGAUAACUUCAGGAAACUGGGGCUAAUACCGGAUAGGAGCUCCUGCUGCAUGGUGGGGGUUGGAAAGUUUCGGCGGUUGGGGAUGGACUCGCGGCUCAUCAGCCUGUUGGUGGGGUAGUGGCUUACCAAGGCUUUGACGGGUAGCCGGCCUGAGAGGGUGACCGGCCCCGUUGGGACUGCGAUGCGGCCCAGCCUCCUACGGGAGGCAGCAGUGGGGGAUAUUGUACGAUGGGCGGGAGCCUGAUGCGGCAACGCCGCGUGCGGGAUGACGGCCUUCGGGUUGUGAACCGCUUUCGCCUGUGACGAGGCGUGAGUGACGGUAAUGGGUAAAGAAGCACCGGCUAACUACGUG